rnacentral:lncRNA from 1 species
CGGGCUCUGUGGGGCCAGCAGUGUGGCCACUGACUGCUGCAGGGCUGGGGCGAUCCACCCUGGCCUUCCUGCCGCCCCGCCACAGGUGGACUUCCAGAGCGAUGGUCCCUGGGGUCCUCUGCUGGGAGGAAGCCCUGUCACACAGGAGAGGGCGACUAUCAGGACGCAGCAAGGACCCCUCCGAGAAGCCGAGAGGACAAAGAGCGGCUGCAGAUCACGGAAAUUAAAGUGUUCAGAGGAGCGAGGAAGACAGCAGGCCAGCAGCCGCCCGCAGAUGCCCAUGUUGCGGGCUUCUGUCCACCUGAAAGCCAGUCCUGCCAGAGAGCGGCUGUGAUCCAAGAGGGAAACGGAGCCAGAGCCCACAGUGGAGCUGCUCGGUCAGGGCAGCCUGUGAGCCUUCUGACCCUGUCUGACCCCAGCCCUUUCCUGGCCAGCCUCCUCUCUGGGCCUCCAGGCUGGGCCUCCGUUCCCCAGUUGCAGAAUGGGGUGACCACGUGGGCAGCGUCAUACACACAGCUGAGCACUGCAGCUUGAGUCUGCCCGCCCUGCUGAUGCCAGCCAGAGCUGCUGCUGGGCUGCCCGGCAGCGCCAAGGCCCUGGGACCCACCUCCAGACGGCGCCGGGCUCCAGUCUGUUUGCUCAACAGAGAGCCUGGCAGGCACAGUUCCCCUGGUUCCAGCCCCUUUUUGAACCAGAUUCAUUUGAUUUCUCAUCUUUAUUUUGGCAGGAAAAAAAUGUAAUUUCUAAUUUAAAAAUGUAGAAAGCAUCCUCCUCGUCAACAUGCGCCCAGCUCAGAUGGUGUUUGGGAAAUUAGUUGUGUCACUCACCAGCACCGGGCCCAGCAGUGGGGAUGGCCUCUCCCUCC